rnacentral:rRNA from 1 species
UACGUAGGGUGCGAGCGUUGUCCGGAAUUACUGGGCGUAAAGAGCUCGUAGGUGGUUUGUCGCGUUGUCCGUGAAAACUCACAACUCAAUUGUGGGCGUGCGGGCGAUACGGGCAGACUGGAGUACUGCAGGGGAGACUGGAAUUCCUGGUGUAGCGGUGGAAUGCGCAGAUAUCAGGAGGAACACCAAUGGCGAAGGCAGCACCCUGGGCCGGUACUGACGCUGAGGAGCGAAAGCGUGGGGAGCAAACAGG